rnacentral:rRNA from 1 species
UUGAUCCUGGCUCAGAACGAACGCUGGCGGCGCNGUUAAGCAUGCAAGUCGAACGGUAACCAUUCUUCGGGAUGGCUAGAGUGGCGAACGGGUGAGUAACACGUAGGUGAUCUGCCCUUGAGUUGGGGAUAGCCCAUGGAAACAUGGGGUAAUACCGAAUACGCUCAGGACCCUGUGGGGAUCUGAGGAAAAGCGCUUCGGCGCUGCUCGAGGAUGAGCCUGCGGCUGAUUAGUUAGUUGGUGGGGUAACGGCCUACCAAGGCGACGAUCAGUAGCCGGCCUGAGAGGGUGAGCGGCCACACUGGGACUGAGAUACGGCCCAGACUCCUACGGGAGGCAGCAGCUAAGAAUCUUCUACAAUGGACGAAAGUCUGAUAGAGCGACGCCGCGUGGGUGAUGAAGGCCGGAAGGUUGUAAAGCCCUUUUCUAUUCGAGGAAUAACCUUAGGAGGCAAUGCCUGAGGGAUGACGGUGGGGUAGGAAUAAGCCCCGGCCAAUUACGUGCCAGCAGCCGCGGUAACACGUAUGGGGCGAGCGUUGUUCGGAAUCAUUGGGCGUAAAGGGCGCGUAGGCGGAUAUGCAAGCUUGGUGUGAAAGACCGCAGCUCAACUGCGGGAUCGCGCUGAGAACUGCAUAUCUUGAGUUCAAGAGGGGAAGCUGGAAUUCCAGGUGUAGGGGUGAAAUCUGUAGAUAUCUGGAAGAACAUCAGUGGCGAAGGCGAGCUUCUGGCUUUGAACUGACGCUGAGGCGCGAAAGCGUGGGGAGCGAACAGGAUUAGAUACCCUGGUAGUCCACGCUGUAAACGAUGUGCACUAGGUGUUGGGCCGUUGAAGGCUCAGUGCCGUAGCUAACG